CCGAGGGCGGAGAAAGGGCGACGCGCGACCCCGUGGCCGCGCCGGUGGUGUCUGCCGAGCUCGGCUGCCACCCCAACCGCAGCCCCGCUAAAACAACAAUAAAACCCACCCCCACACACCCGCGCGCACACCCGCACGCACACACGCACACCCGCCCACACACACUCUGGACUGCGUUCAAGUCAACCCUGAGAAAGUCUGCAAAGGCGAGGAGGGAACACUGGAUGCUCAGAUUGAGGAGCUGCCUGCUCUGAGACUUGACUUUGACCUCUUUCUUCUUGGGCCAAGGAGUGUGACGGUGCAGAAUUAAUCAUUUUAAACAGUAUCAGACUACUCCCGGAGAGGGGGGAAAACUAACAAAAAGAGACACCAAAACCAGUCUUUGAGAACAUCCACAAAUCUGUACCUGAGACCUGCGAAGUCUGCGGCCCAGGGUUCUGUGACAGACUCAAGAUCUCUUUUAUUUAGUGCAAUACAGUGUGAUGGUUGAGCUACAGUGCUGAAUUUCCAGAUCUAAUGCAAAUACGGAUUAAAAAAAAAUUGGCAACUUCA